rnacentral:lncRNA from 10 species
AGACGCGGCGGUGGCGGCGGCUCCGCGGGCUACGGUCGCUCCCGCCUCUCGAGCGCUGCCGGUGGCCGCAGCGGCGCACCCACGCCGGCCCGGAGGAGCAGAGUGAGAUGGAUGUUCCCUCCUCUACUCCAGGCCAGUUUCCCAAGGCCUCUGGGUAAUGUCUAUGUGAUUAAACAGUCUCUUGGGAAUAGAACUCCUUUCAGUUAAGCAGCUCUAUUUUCCAGAAAUCCCUGGAUAAUUUUAUGACCAUGUGGUAAAGACAGGGUCUCACUCUAUCGCCCAGGCUGGAGUGCAGUGGCGCAAUCUUGGCUCACUACAACCUCCACCUCUCGGGCUCAAGCAGUUCUCGUGCCUCAGCCUCCUGAGUAAGCUGGGAUUACAGUGUUCAUUUCUGUGUCGGGCACAGUGCUAAGUGCUGGGUGCUCACUGGUGAUGAGGCAGAUGAAGGUUACCAAACUUGUGGACAGGAGCCUCAUAUCAGAGACGUGGACCUCACUGUAGCCUGGUCAUGGCUUCCAGCUUUUCGAAUCUGAGGCUCCAAAGGAGGAAAUGACCAUUCAG